AUUGCUAUAUUUCUGCACUAUUCUUGGUUGGUGCGACUGUAAGGAAACCCGAUUUCCCUCGGGAUCAAUAAAGUACGCCUGUCUGUCUGUCACUUGCGUUUAGAAACAAGGCCUGGACCUGGUAUUGGAGGAACUCUGGAGCGUUUGUGGAUGUGGCUCGAGCGUCAAGACCCUGGACGUAGGGCUGUUGCCCUGAAAGGAUGACCAUCUCUUUGCCUGCACAGUCAGAGCCUGACCCACUGAGCUGGAAUCCAGAUUCCAGCGUCUCUGCAGCUGGGAUCGUGCUGUUCUCUUUGCCGGUGUGAGUAGCCUUUGAAUGCCACAGGAGAGAUUAUGCUCAAUAACCCUCCUUGUACUUUCUAUCACUCUCUCCCUCGUGCUCAGCCAGCUUCCCAGUGAGAUUAUCUUUUGCGGCUCGACCGCUCUCUGUUAAAGUGUGUUGCACAUUUCAUCGCUCCCUGGUCUGGAGCUUUCAAAGCUUUAAGAUUGGACUUAUCAGCCACCAACAGCAGCGCAGGAGUCCCUCUAACUCACGUCUGCGGUUGCACACCCUUAACUCACUAACCAUCUGCAAGAGGGAGGAACUGUUUUAAAACAAAAACAGUAAACAAGCAGCCAGCAACAGGAAGCUUCCUCCGCUGAUGAUCCCCAGUAACAGCUCAACGUGCCAGAGAUCACAUUCAAUUCAAGGACGACAUGCGUUAAAAGUAUGCUCUGGAGUCAAGGAUUGAAGAAAUAAAGUCAAUUCAAUUCAGACGCAGGAGCAGGGCCAACUUGCAUCCACCGUUCCCCAUCUGGCUCCCCUUAAAGAUGGGUUUCAAAGGGGUUUGCAGAACUACAGCCGGAGCAGCUGUUUGAACUCUGCCAUGGAGGGCGGCUGCACAUGGAGCGAGUGACCCCGCCCUGUAAAAACCCAGAACGACAGAAAAGCCGACAGAAGCUGCAGAGACCUGGUCCCUGGGAGAGGAAAGAUCGGCCCGGGACAGGGGACUCUGGCAACUGCCCCAGCUGGGAAGGACCUCAGAUCCAGUCCAGAGCUCCAGGAUACCCCCAACACACACACCAGGACACUGAGCAGCCUCACCUCCAUCUCUGCAGCACGCAGCUGCCCAAAGAACACCUUUCGCAUGAACUUGCCGACCAGGAAGAC